GAAGCAGGCACAAGGCAGUUAUGAUAAACCAGGACAAAGUGGGGCUCGGGAGGUGGGGAGAAGGUGCUCCUUUGAGACAGAGCUGGGAGAAUGUGCGGAGGAUUGAUGUGGAGAGGACCCCUGGCCCAAGGAUAUUGCUGUCAUCCACCAGGAUGGAGAAGACUACAAGAAACAGGAAGUAAAUUUAUUGGUGAAUAUUAAGAGGGGGCAGCACAGUGGAAGCCCUCAUGAGUGCACGGCCCAUCACUUGUCCAGAGGGCCACGACUGGGGAUGUACUUGACCCCCAGAGCCAUCUGGGAUGAGCCGCUUCUCAGCCACCAUGUCUUCAAAUUCAUCUGCAUUGAACUUGGUGAAGCUGCACUUCUUUGAGAUGUGGAUCUUCUGGCAGCCAGGGAACUUGAACUUGGCCCUGCACAGGGCCUCAAUCACAUGCUCCUUGUUCUGCAGCUUGGUGCGAUGGACAUGAUAACUCAGCCAAUGUGAACCCUGGCCACAGUGCCCCAGGCCUUUCCAAAGGCACCUUGCAUGCCUGUGUGGAGCCUACACUGGGGUAGUGCAAGGUCAGAGACAUGAACAUACACCUGAAAGGCUUCUCUCCAAGGUCCCUUAGAGCAAUCCAUACAAGAAACAGGCUGCAUUACACUAACAAGGAAGCUGCUGUCUAAAACACAACCACAGGGAGGCAAACACUGGAAGGAGAAUCCAAAUACAGCCAGACAGGGAUGAUGAGAACAGAGAGGAGAAGGUCCAGAUAAAAGCAGAAGAUCACAGCUGAUAAUAAUGUGUUGCCUAUUUCAAAAUUGUUAAAAGAAUAAAUUUUUAACAUCCUCAUCACAACAAAAUAUGUUGGUGAGGUGAUAGGUAUGUUAAUUGGCUUGACUAAAUCUUUCUACAAUGUAGGCAUAGAUCAAAACGUCACAUUGUAUCCCAUCAAUAUGCACAAUUAUCAUUUGUCAAUUAAAAAU